GCUGGGCAUGGUGGCUCAUGUCUGUAAUCCCAGCAGCUCAGGAGGCUGAGACAGGAGGAUCACAAGUUCAAAGCCUGCCUCAGCAAUUUAGUGAGGCCCUAAGCAACUCAGCAAGACACUGUCUCUA
rnacentral:sRNA from 1 species